UCGCCGCGUUGAGUCCUGGGAGUUGUAGGCGGUGCUACGUGAAGGGACGCCUGGGGUGGUGGCGUGGAGAUGGUUACCCAGGUAACAGAAGCGCUUCCCCGAUGCCUUCCCUGCCGCGCUAGCUUUCAGAGACGGAUGGCUGGGAAGUAAUGCAGGAAUUGCCGCUGGGGCCUGAUCGCCGAGAGAAAGAUGAGCCAGACCGAAACUUUUUGGAAGGAGAGGGCUUCACUUCAAAAGGGAAAGAAAGAGCCUACUUAGCACCCACUUCAGAAACCAUCACCAAGACACAGAUAAAAAUUCCUAGUGUACCCAGGAGUUGGCACACACAGCCAAAGUUGUUCUUCUGAAGCAAAGGAGGAAUAAGGGUUAACAUCAAUGAAGAAGGCUCUAUGAAUUACUAUUUGGAGUGGGAGGUGUUUCAUUUCACUUCAUUUAGGAAAGAAGCAGAAAACUUAGAAGAAAGAUGACACAUACUCAUCUCCCUCCCUUUCCCCUAUAUGCAACCUUGAUAGUUUUGCUUCCACCUGAUGAGAUGUGCUCUUUUCUAUAAUUCCCUUGUUCUUUAGUAAUAUUCCCCCCACAACCUAAAAGAUGUAUGCACCCAACAGUGUAAUUUAUACUUAUUUAUGUGUCACUUUGAAAAGAUAGGAUUUUUCCAUCCCCCAUAAAACUGUCUGGCAUGUUUAGGUCCUCUAUAUCUCACUAAAGGAUUACUGAUGUCUGAUGAGGUGAAGGAAGGAAGAGCUGGAAUUUACCAUGGCAACAGCAUGGAUGGUUGGGGGGCGAGGAGCAUAUUGGCACUUCCCCCUGCCUUGUUUUACCCCUUGGAACCAAAGAUUGAACCCAGGGGUGCUUAACCACUGAGCCACAUCCUCAGCCCUUUUUAUUUUUCAUUUUGAGAUAGGUAGGGCCCAAAGUUUCUGAGGCUGGCUUUGAACUUGCAGUCCUCCUGCCUCAGCCUCCCAAGUUGCUGGGAUUACAGGCUUAUAUCACCAUGCCCAGCUCUGUCUUUCUUUCUCACACAUGUUAGACAAGCACUCUAUCACUGAGCUACAUCCCCAUCCUUUAAUUUUAUCUUAUUUUGAGAUAGGACAUCACCACACCCAAACUGGAACUUCUAAACCCAUAAAGUUGAGGUUUUAAGCAGAAACCAGAAAUGCUUCACCCACAGCAACUAGUCUGAGAACUGCUUGGUACCUGGGGCAUGGACAGAAGAUAUAAUACUGGUAACAUCUUUGUCUAUCACUCCCUGUACAUAAAAGCCUGGCUCUGUCUGAGACUGCAGCAUGGAUUCUAUAUUCAUAACUAAACAUUUUUGCAAUCCCACCAAUUCCCCGGAAAAGGCCCUCACCUCAAUGACACAUGGAGGGAGAGCCAGGGGGAAAGCAGCAACUCGGAAACGACUGGGACAGACAGAGUGACUGACAUAAAGACGAGAAGCAGCUUUCACAGGAUGUAGAGCAGGAGAGGCCUUUGGCCUUUGCAGCUCCCUGACACAGGUGUCCUGCCACCCAUCUCUUGGGGUAAGGGAGCCACUGGGGGAUCAUCUGGUAGAAGCCACUUACAGGGGAUCUUCUUGAACACUGUGUUGCACAUGAAGCGUUGGAACCGUUCAGCGUAGAAGCCUGGACGAUGCACCGAUACAGUGUCCUACAGAGCAGAAGAGAUGGCUACAGAGUUAGAGAAAGGCCCAAUAAAAGAAUCUGAAGUCCAAGGAACAUUUUCCUUUAGACCAAGCCCUGUCCAAAGGAUAAAACCCCAAAAUGAAAUUGGGAGUGAGAGAGGCAAAAGUGGGGAGGAAGCCUUUAGCUGACUGCUACUCACCCCAUCAUGUACAAGUGCUUUCCAAGAAUGCUCCAAUUUCUUAACAAACCUGCAGAGAAAAAUUAAUAUCACACACACUAUUUCUGAAUGAAUGUCUAAUAGGUUUUUUUCUCCUCCCCCAAUUCUAGGAAGAGGCAAUAAUAUAAAACCUUGAAAAGACAAAAUCUGACAAAGUACUUCCACUCUGGUAAGCUGGCUUUCCAGAGAAAGGCAUGGCAGUGCUUAUUCAGAUUAGAAAUCAAUGCCUUUUUUGUUUUUUUUUCACAGGGGGAGGUACUGGGGAUUGAACCCAGGGGCACUUUACCACUGAGUUAUAUCCCCAGCCCUUUUUUGAGAUAGAUUCUCAUAAAGUUGUUUAAAGCCUCACUAAUAUGCUGAGACUGGCCUUGAACUUGUAAUCCUUUUGCCUCAGCCUCCUGAGUUGCCGGGAUUGAUUACAGGCAUGCACCACUGUGCCCAGCAAUCAAUGCUUUUUCUAUGUAAAUCAAUUAUUCCUUCAUAGGAAAGGGGCAGUUUAUAUGUCCUGGCAAAUCAGGGACAAUAAUAUUAAUUUUAAAUGGGCUGGGGAUAUAGCUCAGUGGUAGAGCACUUGCCUAGCAUGCAUGAGAGGCCCUGGAUUUGAUACCCAGCACUGCAAAACAAAAGAAAAUAAUAUGAAUUGUAAAAAGAGAGCUGGAGAAACAGAUGGGCAAAACUGGAAAUAGCAGUUGAAAGUGGAUAAUAAUAUGAAAUCAGUAAGUCAAGUAUUUUCCAGUCCCUAUUAGUACCCAAAGUGUUAUAGGAAUAACAAUGGGGCCUAACAUUUCUAGCUUCUCCCUCAUCACCACUUCACUAUCUCUGUUGUUCCAUAGGCUGAUACCUUUAUAGAACAUUGAUCCUCUUGUUUUUCCUCUGUGGGAAAGGGAAUAUGCUUCCAGCUAUACUCCAAUGUGGAGUAUGACACAUCUCACAGGUUUUCACAAAGAGCCAGGCAGAUGGCAUGUUCCACUCUGGUGCUUCUGAGGACUGAUUCAGCUUUCCAGAGAAGAAUCCAAGUACGUUCCUUAAGGAAAAGUGCUGUGAGCUUGUGCUCACCUCCCUGGUACCCGAGCCUACUCACUGAUCUUCUGUCUCCAUGGUUCCACCUCGUCGAGCCUCGCC